GAUCCUGGCUCAGGAUGAACGCUAGCUACGGGCUUAACACAUGCAAGUCGAGGGGCAGCAUGUUGGUUGCUUGCAACCAAUGAUGGCGACCGGCGCACGGGUGAGUAGCGCGUAUCCAACCUACCCUUGUCCAUCGGAUAACCCGUCGAAAGGCGGCCUAACACGAUGUGCGGUUCACAGCAGGCAUCUAACGUGAACGAAAUGUGAAGGAGAAGGAUGGGGAUGCGU
rnacentral:rRNA from 1 species